GACCUGCGGAGGAUCAUUAAAGAAUUUGCCUGUUUUUUCGAAAGCGGGUUCUAUUCCCAAACCGUGUAUACAUACCUUUGUUGCUUUGGCGGGCCGCCGUCUCGGCGUUGGCUCCGGCUGACUGUGCCCGCCAGAGGACCACAACUCUUCUGUUUAGUGAUGUCUGAGUACUAUAUAAUAGUUAAAACUUUCAACAACGGAUCUCUUGGUUCUGGCAUCGAUGAAGAACGCAGCGAAAUGCGAUAAGUAAUGUGAAUUGCAGAAUUCAGUGAAUCAUCGAAUCUUUGAACGCACAUUGCGCCCCUUGGUAUUCCGAGGGGCAUGCCUGUUCGAGCGUCAUUAUAACCACUCAAGCUUCGGCUUGGUAUUGAGGUUUCGCGGUCCCGCGGCCCUUAAAAUCAGUGGCGGUGCCGUCUGGCUCUAAGCGUAGUAAUACUCUCGCUAUAGGGUUCCGGCGGUUGCUUGCCAAAACCCCCCACUUCUAUGGUUGACCUCGGAUCAGRUAGGGAUACCCGCUGAACUUAAGCAUAU
rnacentral:rRNA from 1 species